GUGCUUGCUUUGGCAACACAUAUACUAAAAUUGGAACAAUACAGAGAAAAUUAGCAUUGCCCCUGCACAAGGAUGACACGUAAAAUAAGUGAAA
rnacentral:snRNA from 1 species